rnacentral:lncRNA from 1 species
GCAUGGUAGUAUUUGCAUUCCAGAAUUUAGGUUGCUCUUUUGUGUACCCUACUUAGGUUAAUGUAUCUAAACAGUGUGAUUGGACAAAAAAUACAGUAUCAACUGAACAUACUUUCCCAAACUGAGGGAUGAAUCAGGUGUAGAAAAAUAUGAAAUAAUUUUACAUACAGAUGAAAAUGAAUUUUUGAGAAUUUUUUUUAAUUUUUUAUUCACUGCACCAUAAAAGACCUAAAAGUACUAGUGGCCUUAGGUUUUUAAAAAUAGCAAAAAAAGUAAACGGUCAUGAUACAUAUUCAAAUUCAUUUCUGAAUAGUAAAAUGAAAGUACUUCAGUUAUCUGUGAAUGUAGAUUUUUUUGCAGUGUUAGAAAGUGGUGAAAAUUCUAAAAAGGCUAUCAUUAUCCCUUAUGGGCCAGGAAAUACUACCGUGCCACCUAGACGGUUACAAUGUACCAAAUAAAAUUACAUGGGCGCAGCCAUUUUAUGAAGGGAACAUGACAUAGAGAUAAAAAUAGAUGGCUCUCUGUGAUUGGUUGUUAUAUCUUUUAUAUAUUUUUCUUCUGGAAAGCAUUAUGAAUGAAGUUUCAUGCAAGCACAAAUUUGUCCUUAAAUGUAUAGUAUGAAGGGCCGGAAAUAUUUUUUUUAUGUUGCUCAAAAUUAGGGAAAUUUUUCUGCGAAAUCGUCAGGUAUCGUGAAAAACCCCAAAAUUCACCAAGAAAAGCCAUGGGACCAUAUAUAUUUGAGUGCGGUAAAAUCGCAAAUAGAUAUCGAGCUUCAAUUAGACAACAGCAGUUUUUCCAUAAUUAGUUUAUUAAAAGCGCCUUUUAAGGAGAUAAUUGCUAAAAAUAGCAUUGCCGGCAAUGGGGCC